UCCUGGUUGGCUCAGUUGGUAGAGCACUCCACUGGAAAUGGAGAGGUGGUACCUUGUUUGAUACCGGGAA
rnacentral:tRNA from 2 species